rnacentral:rRNA from 1 species
ACGACUACACUCCUACGGGAGGCAGCAGUGGGGAAUAUUGCACAAUGGGCGCAAGCCUGAUGCAGCCAUGCCGCGUGUAUGAAGAAGGCCUUCGGGUUGUAAAGUACUUUCAGCGGGGAUAAAGGGAGUAAAGUUAAUACCUUUGCUCAUUGACGUUACCCGCAGAAGAAGCACCGGCUAACUCCGUGCCAGCAGCCGCGGUAAUACGGAGGGUGCAAGCGUUAAUCGGAAUUACUGGGCGUAAAGCGCACGCAGGCGGUUUGUUAAGUCAGAUGUGAAAUCCCCGGGCUCAACCUGGGAACUGCAUCUGAUACUGGCCAGCUUGAGUCUCGUAGAGGGGGGUAGAAUUCCAGGUGUAGCGGUGAAAUGCGUAGAGAUCUGGAGGAAUACCGGUGGCGAAGGCGGCCCCCUGGACGAAGACUGACGCUCAGGUGCGAAAGCGUGGGGAGCAAACAGGAUUAGUUACCCGAGUAGUCAACCAAUCC